AGAGUUUGAUCCUGGCUCAGAUUGAACGCUGGCGGCAUGCUUUACACAUGCAAGUCGAACGGCAGCGCGGGGCAACCUGGCGGCGAGUGGCGAACGGGUGAGUAAUAUAUCGGAACGUACCCAAGAGUGGGGGAUAACGUAGCGAAAGUUACGCUAAUACCGCAUACGAUCCAAGGAUGAAAGCAGGGGACCGCAAGGCCUUGUGCUCCUGGAGCGGCCGAUAUCUGAUUAGCUAGUUGGUAGGGUAAAGGCCUACCAAGGCUACGAUCAGUAGCUGGUCUGAGAGGACGACCAGCCACACUGGAACUGAGACACGGUCCAGACUCCUACGGGAGGCAGCAGUGGGGAAUUUUGGACAAUGGGCGCAAGCCUGAUCCAGCAAUGCCGCGUGAGUGAAGAAGGCCUUCGGGUUGUAAAGCUCUUUUGUCAGGGAAGAAACGGUGAGGGCUAAUAUCCCUUGCUAAUGACGGUACCUGAAGAAUAAGCACCGGCUAACUACGUGCCAGCAGCCGCGGUAAUACGUAGGGUGCAAGCGUUAAUCGGAAUUACUGGGCGUAAAGCGUGCGCAGGCGGUUUUGUAAGUCUGAUGUGAAAUCCCCGGGCUCAACCUGGGAAUUGCAUUGGAGACUGCAAGGCUAGAAUCUGGCAGAGGGGGGUAGAAUUCCACGUGUAGCAGUGAAAUGCGUAGAGAUGUGGAGGAACACCGAUGGCGAAGGCAGCCCCCUGGGUCAAGAUUGACGCUCAUGCACGAAAGCGUGGGGAGCAAACAGGAUUAGAUACCCUGGUAGUCCACGCCCUAAACGAUGUCUACUAGUUGUCGGGUUUUAAUUAACUUGGUAACGCAGCUAACGCGUGAAGUAGACCGCCUGGGGAGUACGGUCGCAAGAUUAAAACUCAAAGGAAUUGACGGGGACCCGCACAAGCGGUGGAUGAUGUGGAUUAAUUCGAUGCAACGCGAAAAACCUUACCUACCCUUGACAUGGCAGGAAUCCCGGAGAGAUCUGGGAGUGCUCGAAAGAGAACCUGCACACAGGUGCUGCAUGGCUGUCGUCAGCUCGUGUCGUGAGAUGUUGGGUUAAGUCCCGCAACGAGCGCAACCCUUGUCAUUAGUUGCUACGAAAGAGCACUCUAAUGAGACUGCCGGUGACAAACCGGAGGAAGGUGGGGAUGACGUCAAGUCCUCAUGGCCCUUAUGGGUAGGGCUUCACACGUCAUACAAUGGUACAUACAGAGGGCCGCCAACCCGCGAGGGGGAGCUAAUCCCAGAAAGUGUAUCGUAGUCCGGAUUGUAGUCUGCAACUCGACUACAUGAAGUUGGAAUCGCUAGUAAUCGCGGAUCAGCAUGUCGCGGUGAAUACGUUCCCGGGUCUUGUACACACCGCCCGUCACACCAUGGGAGCGGGUUUUACCAGAAGUAGGUAGCUUAACCGCAAGGAGGGCGCUUACCACGGUAGGAUUCGUGACUGGGGUGAAGUCGUAACAAGGUAACCA
rnacentral:rRNA from 1 species